AACGAACGCUGGCGGCAGGCUUAACACAUGCAAGUCGAACGCCCCGCAAGGGGAGUGGCAGACGGGUGAGUAACGCGUGGGAACGUACCCUUUACUACGGAAUAACUCAGGGAAACUUGUGCUAAUACCGUAUGUGCCCUUCGGGGGAAAGAUUUAUCGGUAAAGGAUCGGCCCGCGUUGGAUUAGCUAGUUGGUGGGGUAAAGGCCUACCAAGGCGACGAUCCAUAGCUGGUCUGAGAGGAUGAUCAGCCACAUUGGGAAUGAGACACGGCCCAAACUCCUACGGGAGGCAGCAGUGGGGAAUAUUGGACAAUGGGCGCAAGCCUGAUCCAGCCAUGCCGCGUGAGUGAUGAAGGCCCUAGGGUUGUAAAGCUCUUUCACCGGUGAAGAUAAUGACGGUAACCGGAGAAGAAGCCCCGGCUAACUUCGUGCCAGCCGCCGCAGUAAAAC
rnacentral:rRNA from 1 species